UACGUAGGGGGCUAGCGUUGUCCGGAAUCAUUGGGCGUAAAGAGCGUGUAGGCGACCCGGUAAGUCCGCUGUAAAAGUCAAAGGCUCAACCUUUGAAUGUCAGUGGAUACUGCCGGGCUAGAGUCCGGAAGAGGCGAGUGGAACUCCUGGUGUAGCGGUGGAAUGCGCAGAUAUCAGGAGGAACACCGGUGGCGAAGGCGCACACCUGGCCCGAUACUGACGCUGAGGCGCGAAAGCUAGGGGAGCAAACGGG
rnacentral:rRNA from 1 species